UACGGGGGGGGCAAGCGUUGUCCGGAAUUACUGGGCGUAAAGAGCUCGUAGGUGGUUUGUCGCGUUGUUCGUGAAAACCGGGGGCUUAACCUUCGGCGUGCGGGCGAUACGGGCAGACUGGAGUACUGCAGGGGAGACUGGAAUUCCUGGUGUAGCGGUGGAAUGCGCAGAUAUCAGGAGGAACACCGGUGGCGAAGGCGGGUCUCUGGGCCGAUACUGACGCUGAGGAGCGAAAGCGUGGGGAGCGAACAGG
rnacentral:rRNA from 1 species